rnacentral:rRNA from 1 species
UACGGGGGGGGCGAAGCGUUGUUCGGAAUUACUGGGCGUAAAGGGCUCGUAGGCGGCCAACUAAGUCGGAUGUGAAAUCCCCAGGCUCAACCUGGGAACUGCAUCCGAUACUGGAUGGCUUGAAUUCGGGAGAGGGAUGCAGAAUUCCAGGUGUAGCGGUGAAAUGCGUAGAUAUCUGGAGGAAUACCGGUGGCGAAGGCGGCAUCCUGGACCGACAUUGACGCUGAUGAGCGAAAGCUAGGGGAGCAAACGGGG